UUUCCGUAGGUGAACCUGCGGAAGGAUCAUUAUUGUAUAACCGCGGGGCGAGGGCUGUCGCUGACCCGAAAGGUCGUGCACGCCCGAGUGCCCUCACACACAUCCAUCUCACCCCUUUGUGCACCACCGCGUGGGUCCCCCUUUGGCUUGUUCGGAGGGGGGCUUACGUUUUCACACAAACUUUGUAUGCAGUGUAGAAUGUAUUUUUUGUUUUUGCGAUCACGCAAUCAAUACAACUUUCAACAACGGAUCUCUUGGCUCUC
rnacentral:misc_RNA from 1 species